CCUACGGGAGGCUGCAGUGAGGAAUAUUGGUCAAUGGGCGCGAGCCUGAACCAGCCAAGUCGCGUGAGGGAGGACGGCCCUACGGGUUGUAAACCUCUUUUGCCGGGGAGCAACGGGCGUCACGUGUGGCGUCACUGAGAGUACCCGGAGAAAAAGCAGCGGCUCACGCCGUGCCAGCAGCCGCGGUAAUACGGGGGAUGCGAGCGUUAUCCGGAUUUAGUGGGUUUAAAGGGUGCGUAGGCGGAUGGUUAAGUCAGUGGUCAAAUUGAGGGGCUCAACCCCUUCCCGCCAUUGAAACUGGCGAUCUUGAGUGGAAGAGAAGUAUGCGGAAUGCGUGGUGUAGCGGUGAAAUGCAUAGAUAUCACGCAGAACCCCGAUUGCGAAGGCAGCAUGCCGGCUUCCGACUGACGCUGAAGCACGAAAGCGUGGGGAUCGAACAGGAUUAGAUACCCGAGUAGUC
rnacentral:rRNA from 1 species